UACGUAGGGGGGCUAGCGUUGUCCGGAAUCAUUGGGCGUAAAGAGCGUGUAGGCGGCCCGGUAAGUCCGCUGUGAAAGUCGGGGGCUCAACCCUCGAAAGCCGGUGGAUACUGUCGGGCUAGAGUGCGGAAGAGGCGAGUGGAAUUCCUGGUGUAGCGGUGAAAUGCGCAGAUAUCAGGAGGAACACCGAUUGCGAAGGCAGCUCGCUGGGACGUAACUGACGCUGAGACGCGAAAGCGUGGGGAGCAAACAGG
rnacentral:rRNA from 1 species